rnacentral:rRNA from 1 species
AUGAACGCUGGCGGCGUGCCUAAUACAUGCAAGUCGAGCGAACAGACGAGGAGCUUGCUCCUCUGACGUUAGCGGCGGACGGGUGAGUAACACGUGGAUAACCUACCUAUAAGACUGGGAUAACUUCGGGAAACCGGAGCUAAUACCGGAUAAUAUAUUGAACCGCAUGGUUCAAUAGUGAAAGACGGUUUUGCUGUCACUUAUAGAUGGAUCCGCGCCGCAUUAGCUAGUUGGUAAGGUAACGGCUUACCAAGGCAACGAUGCGUAGCCGACCUGAGAGGGUGAUCGGCCACACUGGAACUGAGACACGGUCCAGACUCCUACGGGAGGCAGCAGUAGGGAAUCUUCCGCAAUGGGCGAAAGCCUGACGGAGCAACGCCGCGUGAAUGAUGAAGGUCUUCGGAUCGUAAAACUCUGUUAUUAGGGAAGAACAAAUGUGUAAGUAACUAUGCACGUCUUGACGGUACCUAAUCAGAAAGCCACGGUUAACUACGUG